rnacentral:rRNA from 1 species
UACGUAGGCAGCGAGCGUUGUUCGGAAUUACUGGGCGUAAAGAGUGUGUAGGCGGUGCUCUAAGUUUGGUGUGAAAUCUCCCGGCUCAACUGGGAGGGUGCGCCGAAUACUGAAAGACUAGAGUGCGGGAGAGGAAAGUGGAAUUCCUGGUGUAGCGGUGAAAUGCGUAGAUAUCUGGAGGAACACCGGUGGCGAAGGCGGCGAUUCUGGACUGCAACUGACACUGAGGAACGAAAGCCAGGGGAGCAAACGGG